CAGGCCUAACACAUGCAAGUCGAACGAGAUCUUCGGAUCUAGUGGCGCACGGGUGAGUAACGCGUGGAAACCUGCCUAUCUGUACGGAAUAACGUUUGGAAACGAACGCUAAUACCGUAUACGCCCUGUGGGGGAAAGGUCCGCCGCAGAUAGAGGGGUCCGCGUCCGAUUAGCUUGUUGGUGGGGUAAUGGCCUACCAAGGCGACGAUCGGUAGCUGGUCUGAGAGGAUGAUCAGCCACACUGGGACUGAGACACGGCCCAGACUCCUACGGGAGGCAGCAGUGGGGAAUAUUGGACAAUGGGGGCAACCCUGAUCCAGCAAUGCCGCGUGUGUGAUGAAGGCCUUAGGGUUGUAAAGCACUUUCAAUGGUGAAGAUGAUGACGGUAACCAUAGAAGAAGCCCCGGCUAACUUCGUGCCAGCAGCCGCGGUAAUACGAAGGGGGCGAGCGUUGUUCGGAAUUACUGGGCGUAAAGGGCGCGCAGGCGGUCAAUUCAGUUAGGUGUGAAAGCCCCGGGCUUAACCUGGGAACUGCACUUAAUACUGAUUGACUAGAAAACGGAAGAGGAGAGUGGAAUUCCCAGUGUAGAGGUGAAAUUCGUAGAUAUUGGGAAGAACACCAGUGGCGAAAGCGGCUCUCUGGUCCGAU
rnacentral:rRNA from 1 species